AUGAACGCUGGCGGCGUGCUUAACACCUGCAAGUCGAACGCUGAAGCCCAGCUUGCUGGGUGGAUUAGUGGCGAACGGGUGAGUAACACGUGAGUAACCUGCCCUUAACUCUGGGAUAAGCCUGGGAAACUGGGUCUAAUACCGGAUAGGAGCGUCCACCGCAUGGUGGGUGUUGGAAAGAUUUAUCGGUUUUGGAUGGACUCGCGGCCUAUCAGCUUGUUGGUGAGGUAAUGGCUCACCAAGGCGACGACGGGUAGCCGGCCUGAGAGGGUGACCGGCCACACUGGGACUGAGACACGGCCCAGACUCCUACGGGAGGCAGCAGUGGGGAAUAUUGCACAAUGGGCGCAAGCCUGAUGCAGCGACGCCGCGUGAGGGAUGACGGCCUUCGGGUUGUAAACCUCUUUCAGUAGGGAAGAAGCGAAAGUGACGGUACCUGCAGAAGAAGCACCGGCUAACUACGUG
rnacentral:rRNA from 1 species